GUUUUUAUGAAAAUAGAUGUAAAAUUGGCUCUGCUCAAUGAUAGAUUUAAAUAGCUGCGGUAAGUUGACUGUAUGAAGGUAGCAUAAUAAUUAGUUUAUUGAAUGUAAACUUGUAUGAAUGAGUUGAUGAAAAAUUAACUAUCUAUAAUUUAAAUUAGGUUGAAUUUAAUAUAUGAGUUAAAAAGCUCAUUUUAACUAAAGGGACAAGAAGACCCUAUAGAACUUUAUAAUUGAUGAUUAUUAUAUUAUGAAUAUUGUUAAUUAAUUGGUUGGGGUGAUUAAGAUAUAAAUGUAAUUUUCUUAAAUUUUACAUUAAUUUAUGGAUGGGUUAAGUGAAUUUUAAUUUUUAUUAUUAGAUAAGUUACCUUAGGGAUAACAGCAUAAUUUAUAUGAAGAGUACUUAUUAAUAUAUAAGAUUGUGACCUCGAUGUUGAAUUAGGAAGUAAUUAAGUUGAAGAAGAUUAUAAUUUGGGUCUGUUCGACCUUUGAAAUCUUACA
rnacentral:rRNA from 1 species